rnacentral:rRNA from 1 species
UACGAAGGGGGCGAGCGUUGUUCGGAAUUACUGGGCGUAAAGGGCGCGUAGGCGGUGUGUCAAGUCAGGCGUGAAAGCCCCGGGCUCAACCUGGGAAUGGCAUUGAAAACUGCUGGACUGGAGGAUCGGAGGGGGGACUGGAAUUCUUGGUGUAGCAGUGAAAUGCGUAGAUAUCAAGAGGAACACCAGUGGCGAAGGCGAGUCCCUGGACGAUACCUGACACUGAGGCACGAAAGCCAAGGGAGCAAACAGG